AUCCAGCUGAAGAGUCCUAAAUAGGACGAAACGCUCGUCCUGGAU
rfam:Schistosoma haematobium scaffold1990_3, whole genome shotgun sequence.